CCUACGGGUGGCUGCAGUCGAGGAUCUUCGGCAAUGGGCGCAAGCCUGACCGAGCGACGCCGCGUGGGCGAUGAAGGCCUUCGGGUUGUAAAGCCCUGUCGAGAGAGAGAAAAGGGCAACCUUGAUCGAUCUCUGGAGGAAGCACGGGCUAAGUUCGUGCCAGCAGCCGCGGUAAGACGAACCGUGCGAACGUUGUUCGGAAUCACUGGGCUUAAAGGGCGCGUAGGCGGGGCCGCAAGUCCGGGGUGAAAGCCCCCAGCUCAACUGGGGAAGCGCCUUGGAUACUGCGGUCCUCGAGGGAGGUAGGGGCGUGCGGAACUUCCGGUGGAGCGGUGAAAUGCGUAGAUAUCGGAAGGAACACCGGUGGCGAAAGCGGCGCGCUGGACCUCUUCUGACGCUGAGGCGCGAAAGCCAGGGGAGCAAACGGGAUUAGAUACCCUAGUAGUC
rnacentral:rRNA from 1 species